UGACACAUUGGCGUUCACCUUUGGCAAUGUAGUGUCUGACUUCCUUAUGGGAGAUGUAGAGAAUGGAUCAGUGUUGGGGCUCCCCCUAACUAAGAGAAGCAGGUCUUUUGAGAACCUCUCCUUGGAAUCUGGAGGAUCUGUUCCAGAGAAAGAUGAUCCACCAGGUACGACAGAUCUCUACAACACAC